UUCUGGCAGGGUAUAUGAGAUCGUCGCUGAUUGGCUGCACCUUGCUCAAGCCGAUCUUCGAUCGAUCGAUAUCCGGCCGCGGGACGGUCACACUCACAGGUCGGCAUGUUGGUGAACCUUUCCUGUUUAGCUUAGAUUUCACGUUAUCAUGGUUAUUCAUGCCAACAAGAGCUGCAAACAACUUCUCUAAUUAGUAGAAUGUGGACGGACAUUGCAUUCAUUCCCAUUCAGCCAUUGGACUGAACCGGUACCAAGACCGGAACUGUAACACAGUAAGGAUGGUCAAUAUGAAGCGAGCUUCAUUGAAUUCCUCCAAGAGCUCUGUACUCUGUUCUGAUCAUUUUGAAGAUGCUUGCUUUGACCUGGGCAGACGAUACGUCUUAAACAGGAUGCUGUCCCAACCAUAUUUGAUUUCCCGCCUCGUCUUCAGAAGAAUUCACCCAAACCAAGGUAUUUCCCAAAAGACUUUUCGAUUCAGCAAACAACCUCCCAGAUACUGCAAAGACACCAGUGCCAAAGUCUUCAGCACCUUAAUUUCUCGAAGACCACUCCUACUGAAUACCAGAAAGUCCAAGAGGGGUAAAGUGGAAGUCAACAACAAUAAUGGACUGUAUUAAAACUUGGAGAAGAGGCUGAAAACCACACAGAAGUCCUACCUUAUACAUUACUUGCUUUUAAGUUUGGACAAACAUUGAUUUGCACAACUUUACAACAAAAAAUUUACGCUGUGUGGAUUCUGAUUAUUUAAAAUAGCUCAAUGAAAACGUUUAUCACUGGGCAUGUAACAAAAAUGAAUUCAUUGAAUUUGAAGAUGUCUUACAGUAUAUUCAUUCUGAUUUGAAUGUCAGAAGAGAAAAAAGUUUGUGAAAAGUAGGAAUGACGGCAAGCUGACAGAAGAAUAGAAUACAUGUAGGAUAGAACAAGGCCACAGUUAUAAAUGAGCUGUUGGAUAGAGACAAAAAGAUGAAUUAAGAAUGGGGGUGAUAGAGAAAUAGAGACAGGAAUUGGGGAGCCUGUGAUGAAUGCCUGAGAAAGUAAAAAUUACCAUAUUUUAUUUUUUUAAGGAUUUGAACAGUCAGGAAGAAUGUGGUCUUUUUUCUGUUGUUAUUUCUCAAAAUACUGGUAUGUUUUGUGUACAGAAAGGGGUAUAAUCCUUUGCAAUAAUCACUCUCACAGAAAAUAUUAACUAAUCAAAAGAAAAGUCAAAUAUUUCACUGAUUUACAAUUGUUCGGUCACUCUCAUAUCUAAAGUUACCCCCCCCCCCCCAUCAUUUCAAGGUAUUGGAGAGAGAGGUUGGGCAGGACAUGGCUGUCAGCAGAAAAAAAAUGCAGGGUGGGGCAAAACAAUUUUGGGAUAUGUGC